AGAGUUUGAUCAUGGCUCAGAAUGAACGCUGGCGGUGUGCUUAACACAUGCAAGUCGAGCGAGGCCUGGGGGGCAACUCCCAGAGUCGAGCGGCGGACGGGUGAGUAACACGUGGGUAACCUGCCCGGAAGUGGGGAAUACCUCGGGGAAACUCGAGCUAAUACCGCAUGACAUCUUUGGGACGAAAGUCCCGACGAUCAAAGCGGGGUCGCAAGAUCUCGCGCUACCGGAUGGGCCCGCGCCCGAUUAGCUAGUUGGUGAGGUAAUGGCUCACCAAGGCUUCGAUCGGUAACCGGCCUGAGAGGGCGAUCGGUCACACCGGAACUGAGACACGGUCCGGACUCCUACGGGAGGCAGCAGUCGGGAAUUUUGCGCAAUGGGCGAAAGCCUGACGCAGCAACGCCGCGUGAGGGAUGAAGGCCUUCGGGUUGUAAACCUCUUUUGUCAGGGACGAUGAUGACGGUACCUGACGAAUAAGCCACGGCUAACUACGUGCCAGCAGCCGCGGUAAUAC
rnacentral:rRNA from 1 species